rnacentral:rRNA from 1 species
CAAGUCGAGGGGCAGCAUGGUCUUAGCUUGCUAAGUUUGAUGGCGACCGGCGCACGGGUGAGUAACACGUAUCCAACCUUCCGUUUACUCAGGGAUAGCCUUUCGAAAGAAAGAUUAAUACCCGAUGGCAUAAUUCUUCCGCAUGGUAGAAUUAUUAAAGAAUUUCGGUUAUCGAUGGGGAUGCGUUCCAUUAGGCAGUUGGUGAGGUAACGGCUCACCAAACCUUCGAUGGAUAGGGGUUCUGAGAGGAAGGUCCCCACAUUGGAACUGAGACACGGUCCAAACUCC